CUAGAGAUAUAUGAAACAAAAUCAAUACAAAAAAUCUGCAUGAGUGUUUUAUUCUUUUCUGUUAUUUCGACGUAGCGUAAAAUGAAUCUAUUGGUUUUGUUCCUAUUGGCUUCUAAUCUUGGUUUAUGUUUAAAUACAGCUAUCAGAAAAUCAAGUUUCAUCGGUGGUCCAAUGAUGGACCGAGGGUACUGGGUAGACAGGCGAUGCAGAUCUUAUAAAGGAGUGUGUAUAGAAGUUGACAAUCUUUGUGAAGGGAAAGUUAUUACAGGAUAUGGACUAUGCCAUGGUCGCCAUAUAAAGAAAUGCUGUGCCUACUUUUAAUAGGCUCAACGUGAGAUCUUUAAAAUUAAAAAGAAGUAGCAGAACUUGAUCGAUGUCUUCAAAAUUCAAAUGUACCACAUUAAAACUAGUUUUUUUU